CAGAAUCACCCAUUAAGACGGACAACGUGGACGAUCGGUAGAGGUUGCAGGUUAAGGUAUGGUAAACACGUAAGAUUAGGAUAAGACCAAAUCAACUGUGGUGGGCCUAUGAUUGGACCGUAAUUAAGGUUUCACUAAUCAUCGGCCCACGAAGAAAACUAUAAAUAUAAGUCAAAGGUAAGAGGUAGGCAGACACAUUUAAUGCACAUUUAUUUCACUCUCUUUCUAUCUCUACCCUUGAUAUUAAAAAACCGAACACUGACUUGAGCGUCGGAGUGCCUUUAGCAGGUACCCGACCGGAUUUAACAAGAGACGUCUUAACUUAGAUCAACGGACAACCGAACACGAAGAGUGCAGGACCGGGCGACUAAUAGCGGAGGACGGCGUAGGAAGACCCAAAGACACCUACAGCAAGAACAUAAACC
rnacentral:lncRNA from 1 species